UACAGAGGUCUCAAGCGUUGUUCGGAUUCAUUGGGCGUAAAGGGUGCGUAGGCGGCGCGGUAAGUCGGGUGUGAAAUCUCGGGGCUUAACUCCGAAACUGCAUUCGAUACUGCCGUGCUUGAGGACUGGAGAGGAGACUGGAAUUUACGGUGUAGCGGUGAAAUGCGUAGAUAUCGGGAGGAACACCGGUGGCGAAGGCGGUUCUCUGGGCCUUACCUGACGCUGAGGAGCGAAAGCGUGGGGAGCGAACAGG
rnacentral:rRNA from 1 species